rnacentral:pre_miRNA from 1 species
UUAACCCGUUGAGAGGCGACAAACCGGGGUCAUCCAGGUCCGCUGACCCCGGUUUGUCGCCUCUCAACGAUGGGG